UCCUUCUGACGCAAGGAACGCACGGGAUCACUUCCGGGGCCGUGCAGAACAUAGGCUUAGAUUUCAGCCGCUGCGCUUGGUGUCAGCUGUGGAGGGUCGGGCUGCGAUUUCUGCAGGAACUUCACUCACUUUAGUACCUCUUUUCACCCUGUGCUUAUCUUCUGCAAGCGCAUCUGCGGCUGAGAGCAAGCUGAGCGAGCCAGGAGAAGCAAGCCAGUGAGUGACAUCCCUCCAUGGCCUCUGCAUCAGCUCCUGCUUCCUGCCCUGUGUGAGUUCCAGUCCUGACUUCCUUUGGUGAUGAACAGCAAUGUGAAUGUGUAAGCUGAAUAAACCUUUUCCUCCCCAA